UACGGAGGAUCCAAGCGUUAUCCGGAAUCAUUGGGUUUAAAGGGUCCGUAGGCGGUUUUGUAAGUCAGUGGUGAAAGCCCCUCGCUCAACGAUGGAACGGCCAUUGAUACUGCUAGACUUGAAUUUCUAGGAAGUAACUAGAAUAUGCAGUGUAGCGGUGAAAUGCUUAGAUAUUACAUGGAAUACCAAUUGCGAAGGCAGCUUACUGCAAGUGGAUUGACGCUGAGGGACGAAAGCGUGGGGAGCGAACAGG
rnacentral:rRNA from 1 species